GGCUAAGCUAGUGGGGGCAAAGUUUCAGUGCAUUCUGUUGAUGUAGACGACGUGAAAACGGAAACAAGUAUGCCGUCUGACUGUGCUGCAUAUAGUUGCACAUGACGUCGUACGAUUGAGACAAGGAAACUUGGAAUGACUUUUCAUAGGUUUCCCAGAGACUAUGGGUUGAGGAGGAAGUGGAAGUUUGUCAGCUUAGACCUGGUGUCAUUCCAUCAGUGUUAAAUUUCCCGGCUCAUCUUGGAAGAGUACGUGCCAGAAAGACCACGACCAAGCAGCCUUGAGAUCUUAGGCAGCGUCUCCCUGAGGUCCCUAUCUCCCCACACAUCCACCAACCACUGGAACACAUCUCCAAAGUUCUGCUGGACCAGCUCAGCUUCCCCUCAGAAGAAGUGCUGCCACCUGCCAGAUGAAGGAGCCUUUUGAGAGGCAGCUGGCAUCGUGAUUGGACUGUACUUUGGUCUGUUCCAAUCCAGCUUCAGCUCCAGAGACGGCAGGCGGGACGAGUCAACGGAGGCCGGAUGGACGAAGGCAUGCAGCUGAGUACAAUCCAGAAAACAACAGAGGAGGAGUGCAGCAGCCCAGAGCCAGAACAACCAGAGUAGCAUGACCAAAGAACUACAGACUCUUCACAACCUGCUCAAACUCUUGGUACAGGACCUCACCACACGGGUCAAGAAGGUUUCCAUCUCAUUUUUACUCUGAAGCUCACCUUCUCCUGCUCAAACUGCUAACAAAUGUUUCUGCUGCUCUAAAGUCUGCUCUCCAGAACUUCCUAAAAACUCUCAAAGUCUCUUCUGCUGCAGAUUGCUUUGUAGAACUGUUGCAGAAAACCUCACUAAACCACAUGGAGGGGCCUCAAGAUAGUCGUCCAAAUGAAACCAUACAAAAACCAAACUAGUACAACCCAAACGCUAAAGUCUCCUGCAGCCUACCAGAGAACCUCUGAGAACAGAGAAUCAGGACAGGAACUCUUACCUUCUGGACAACCAACGCUGGUUCACAAACAAGAAUACAGAAUGUGUCUGACCAAAAACCUCUGAAGACUCACUACAGCCAAGAUAAAGACACAACUCAGCUGCACCAAAUCUACUAAUCACUGCACACAUUACCACCAUGUGAUAACUGUGGCUAAAGAACCACAUUUACCAAGACAACUAUCCAGUACAAAGCCCUAAAACACACCAAGAAACACAUUAAAGAUGAUUUUACUGCUGGAAGCUGCAAGCCAACGCCUAAAGAAGAAACUAAAGCAACAGAGCCAAACCCGGUUUACUGGUGAACAGAAGCAGAGGAAAUGUUUGUCUGCAGCUAAAUAAAGCAGGAAGACACUGAGCUGCUCAGGUGUUCCUGAUAACACCAAGCAGCCACCUGGACAGCCAAUAGGAACACAGCUUCCUGGAAGUCCAGAGGGCUGGCUUAGUGAAGGAAAUUUAAUUUAAAGUUGAAGCAGAAAGUUAACAAAGAAAGUUGAAAACCACCUUCUGAUACCUGAAAUCUCUUGAGUUUUCACACAAAGAACACCUGAACAUGUCAAACUGGUUCCAUAGUAGAACCAUCAUUGUAAAAACGUCAUAGUAUGGUGUGUUGCUCAAAAAACAUUAGGACCCUGCUGUCUAGGGAGCUGUAGGAGAGGCCCACCACAGUUUGUACUUUGCACAUUGUAAAUAGUUUUGAUUUUGCUGCUGACUAAUAAACUAUUUUGUGACUUCUGUGA